CAAAUGACCUGAACAUGUUUUUCUUGUAUGAAACCUUGAAGGUCUUUUGUGAACUUAUUAUAGUCUGUAAGGCUUAAUGAAUUGCCUUUGGAGAAUCACUAUGAACUGGGUUAUGUUUAAAACCGUGGGCGAUUAACUACUACCUAGGUGACAUUUUGAAAAUUUCAGAUUUGUACCCUUUGGAACAUAAUUAGCUUUAUUUCCAAGAUGACUUGGUGCUGCUGAAACUGUUUUUUUUAGAAAAACAGCAGCAUAACUGUUUUAGAUUUACAUUUGCCUAUACUUCCCAAACUAAAAAAUCCUUAAAAUUUUAAUAGAACUUAGUUUUAUGUUUCUAC
rnacentral:lncRNA from 1 species